CAGCAGCCGCGGGAAUACGUAGGUGGCAAGCGUUGUCCGGAAUUAUUGGGCGUAAAGGGCUCGCAGGCGGUUUCUUAAGUCUGAUGUGAAAGCCCCCGGCUCAACCGGGGAGGGUCAUUGGAAACUGGGAAACUUGAGUGCAGAAGAGGAGAGUGGAAUUCCACGUGUAGCGGUGAAAUGCGUAGAGAUGUGGAGGAACACCAGUGGCGAAGGCGACUCUCUGGUCUGUAACUGACGCUGAGGAGCGAAAGCGUGGGGAGCGAACAGGAUUAGAGACCCGAGUAGUCCCUGUCUCUUAUAU
rnacentral:rRNA from 1 species